AUUGAACGCUGGCGGCAGGCUUAACACAUGCAAGUCGAGCGGGGGAAGGUAGCUUGCUACCGGACCUAGCGGCGGACGGGUGAGUAAUGCUUAGGAAUCUGCCUAUUAGUGGGGGACAACAUCUCGAAAGGGAUGCUAAUACCGCAUACGUCCUACGGGAGAAAGCAGGGGAUCUUCGGACCUUGCGCUAAUAGAUGAGCCUAAGUCGGAUUAGCUAGUUGGUGGGGUAAAGGCCUACCAAGGCGACGAUCUGUAGCGGGUCUGAGAGGAUGAUCCGCCACACUGGGACUGGGACACGGCCCAGAGUACUACGGGAGGCAGCAGUGGGGAAUAUUGGACAAGGGGGGGAACCCUGAUCCAGCCAUGCCGCGUGUGUGAAGAAGGCCUUAUGGUUGUAAAGCACUUUAAGCGAGGAGGAGGCUACUCUAGUUAAUACCUAGGGAUCGUGGACGUUACUCGCAGAAUAAGCACCGGCUAACUCUGUGCCAGCAGCCGCGGUAA
rnacentral:rRNA from 1 species